UGAAAAGAAAAACUACUGUUGUCAUUAAUCAAACUUCAUCCUGAAGUUAAGAUACAAUUUAACAUAGUGGACUAGACCAAAACAUCGUGUAGGGUGAGAGGGAUUGCCCCUCAAAAUUUAUUUGCUGCUUAAAAGCUUUACGCUGUGUUCCACAGCAAGCAUUGCAGUUAUUCUCUUCUUUUGCCUGGCUGCCACUCGCUUAUCAUUCUUUCUGAUAUGACUCAUGUAGAAGGAUAUUUCACAUUAGACUGUUUUGUUACAUCUUUCCAUGAAAUGCUAGAACAUCAGUGCUUGCUCCAGGAAAAGUUGUAGGGAAAAAACCACAGCUGUAAAUACCCAUCGCAAACUGCAAAAAGCAUAGGAAUAGCCCUGCUAUCCUGGGAUGAGCACCUGCUCUUCAUUCCUCUACUUUGAAGUGUUCCAAGGUCUCCAGGGUCUCUCAGUGAAGAAAGUGGUUCUGUUCUGCUUACGAGCUAAGAACUGCAAACUUACAGCAUGAGUCAAUUCUUCAGAGGGAAGAAGGUGGGACCUGCAGAUAUGAAAAGGGUGUGGGUCAGAAGGCAGGAAGACAGUGAGCUGGCUGUCUCUUUUCUACCUUAAACCAGGCUGCUGUGAACACAAGAGGCUAUAUAUGCAGAUCAAGGUUACCAAGGGACAUAGACACCUCUGGCUUAAGUUAUUUUCCUUAUUAAACUGGCAAUGGAAGAAGUAAGCAGUGUAAAAUUCUCUAGAUCAACUCAAAAGCACUGAAAGAUCAUCCAUGCCCUGGAAAAUUAAAUUGGCUUUAUGGUCAGACAAUGCCCAGCAGUAUAAUCCAGAGACACAAGAGGAUUUGGAUUGUAAAGUACUCAAAUUAAAGGAGUGCUUGUAUUCUGGGAGUUUGAUUCUUCCUACCACAAAUGGUGUUUGGUUCUGGGAUUUUUGUUUGGACCUGCCUGUGCCUCUUACAAAACCAAAACAAGCAAGCUGUCAUUUUUACAAAAGCCCAGAUGUAUUUUCAUUUUUUGCAAAGACAGACAAACAUCAGUACUAAGAUAUUA